rnacentral:rRNA from 1 species
GGSSUACACACUCUAGGGGUAGGGAUAAGCCUGGGAGUCUUACACUCCCGGGUAAGGGGAGUGUGGCGGACGGCUGAGUAACACGUGGCUAACCUACCCUCGGGACGGGGAUAACCCCGGGAAACUGGGGAUAAUCCCCGAUAGGGAAGGAGUCCUGGGAAUGGUUCCUUCCCUAAAGGGCYAUAGGCUAUUUCCCGUUUGUAGCCGCCCGAGGAUGGGGCUACGGCCCAUCAGGCUGUCGGUGGGGUAAAGGCCCACCGAACCUAUAACGGGUAGGGGCCGUGGAAGCGGGAGCCUCCAGUUGGGCACUGAGACAAGGGCCCAGGCCCUACGGGGCGCACCAGGCGCGAAACGUCCCCAAUGCGCGAAAGCGUGAGGGCGCUACCCCGAGUGCCUCCGCAAGGAGGCUUUUCCCCGCUCUAAAAAGGCGGGGGAAUAAGCGGGGGGCAAGUCUGGUGUCAGCCGCCGCGGUAAUACCAGCUCCGCGAGUGGUCGGGGUGAUUACUGGGCCUAAAGCGCCUGUAGCCGGCCCACCAAGUCGCCCCUUAAAGUCCCCGGCUCAACCGGGGAACUGGGGGCGAUACUGGUGGGCUAGGGGGCGGGAGAGGCGGGGGGUACUCCCGGAGUAGGGGCGAAAUCCUUAGAUACCGGGAGGACCACCAGGGCGGAAGCGCCCCGCUAGAACGCGCCCGACGGUGAGAGGCGAAAGCCGGGGCAGCAAACGGGAUUAGAUACCCCGGUAGUCCCGGCUGUAAACGAUGCGGGCUAGGUGUCGAGUAGGCUUAGAGCCUACUUCGGUGCCGCAGGGAAGCCGUUAAGCCCGCCGCCUGGGGGGUACGGUCGCAAGACUGAAACUUAAAGGAAUUGGCGGGGGAGCACCACAAGGGGUGGAACCUGCGGCUCAAUUGGGGUCAACGCCUGGAAUCUUACCGGGGGAGACCGCAGUAUGACCGCCAGGCUAACGACCUUGCCUGACUCGCGGAGAGGAGGUGCAUGGCCGUCCCCAGCUCGUGUUGUGAAAUGUCCGGUUAAGUCCGGCAACGAGCGAGACCCCCACCCCUAGUUGGUAUUCUGGACUCCGGUCCAGAACCACACUAGGGGGACUGCCGGCGUAAGCCCGGAGGAAGGAGGGGGGCCACGGGCAGGUCAGCAUGCCCCCGAAAACUCCCGGGCCGCACGCGGGUUACAAUGGGCAGGGACAACGGGGUGCUUUCCUCGAAAGGGGGAGCCAAUCCUUAAACCCUGCCGCAGUUGGGAACCGAGGGCUGAAACCCG